CACACUUGCAGCAAACCACUGGAAGACAUUUCGUCAACAGUGAUGGAUUCCUCCGGUGUGCGAACUUGUAGAGGACUCGCUACUUCAACCAUGCUGCGAACGCUCUCGGUAUACGAUCUAUACCGUGCCAGGCUUGCGUCGGGAGAUUGAUUCUUUGACGAUGGAGCUAGCGAGCGAGGCUUUCACGGCAAUAAGAACACCGCCGCCAGAGGAUUUAUCGGCAUUGGACAAUGUACGAUCGCAACGGUACGAUUCAUGAUUAAUAACUGGAAUGAAACUUGAGUAACGCAUUUCAAUGAUAAGUAUAAUAGUACAAUGAAGAACAACUGAGCCUUGGUUGCAGUUAUCCUGUGGAUGUGAGCAUAUCGUCCCGAAACCAAUAAUUUUUAUAUCAGACUAGCAGACCCGACGUUUAAAAUUGAUUUAUUCUCUGAUUAGUUUUCGAGUUAUGCAGAAAUGUCUGUUUCAUUUGUUUGGGAGUCCCCCUUUCUAAAAGGGGGGAUGGGUGUAGA